rnacentral:miRNA from 1 species
UCAGUAGGCCAGACAGCAAGCAC